CGAAGAACCUUACCUGGUCUUGACAUCCACAGAACUUUCCAGAGAUGGAUUGGUGCCUUCGGGAACUGUGAGACAGGUGCUGCAUGGCUGUCGUCAGCUCGUGUUGUGAAAUGUUGGGUUAAGUCCCGCAACGAGCGCAACCCUUAUCCUUUGUUGCCAGCGAUUAGGUCGGGAACUCAAAGGAGACUGCCAGUGAUAAACUGGAGGAAGGUGGGGAUGACGUCAAGUCAUCAUGGCCCUUACGACCAGGGCUACACACGUGCUACAAUGGCGCAUACAAAGAGAAGCGACCUCGCGAGAGCAAGCGGACCUCAUAAAGUGCGUCGUAGUCCGGAUUGGAGUCUGCAACUCGACUCCAUGAAGUCGGAAUCGCUAGUAAUCGUGGAUCAGAAUGCCACGGUGAAUACGUUCCCGGGCCUUGUACACACCGCCCGUCACACCAUGGGAGUGGGUUGCAAAAGAAGUAGGUAGCUUAACCUUCGGGAGGGCGCUUACCACUUUGUGAUUCAUGACUGGGGUGAAGUCGUAACAAGGUAACCGUAGGGGAACCUGC
rnacentral:rRNA from 1 species